GACGAACGCUGGCGGCGUGCCUAAUACAUGCCAGUCGAGCGGACGAAUCGAAAGCUUGCUUUUGAUUCGUUAGCGGCGGACGGGUGAGUAACACGUGGGCAACCUGCCCUGUAGACGGGGAUAACACCGAGAAAUCGGUGCUAAUACCGGAUAACACGAAAUGUCGCAUGACGUUUCGUUGAAAGACGGCGCAAGCUGUCGCUACAGGAUGGGCCCGCGGCGCAUUAGCUAGUUGGUGAGGUAACGGCUCACCAAGGCGACGAUGCGUAGCCGACCUGAGAGGGUGAUCGGCCACACUGGGACUGAGACACGGCCCAGACUCCUACGGGAGGCAGCAGUAGGGAAUCUCCCGCAAUGGACGAAAGUCUGACGGAGCAACGCCGCGUGAGCGAAGAAGGCCUUCGGGUCGUAAAGCUCUGUUGUUAGGGAAGAACAAGUAACGCAGUAACUGGCGUUACCGUGACGGUACCUAACGAGAAAGCCACGGCUAACUACGUG
rnacentral:rRNA from 1 species